rnacentral:rRNA from 1 species
UACGGAGGGGGCUAGCGUUGUUCGGAAUUAUUGGGCGUAAAGGGCGCGUAGGCGGCUUGGCAAGUGGAUGGUGAAAUCCCUCGGCUUAACCGAGGAACUGCCAUCCAGACUGCUUUGCUUGAGGCCGGGAGAGGUGAGUGGAAUUCCCAGUGUAGCGGUGAAAUGCGCAGAUAUCAGGAGGAACACCAAUAGCGAAGGCAGCUCGCUGGGACGUUACUGACGCUGAGGCACGAAAGCGUGGGGAGCAAACAGG